rnacentral:misc_RNA from 1 species
UAUAGUUGCAGAUGGAUAAGGAUAGAGGAAGAAAAAAGGGAGAGGCUUAGUCCGAACCUUGGCUAAGUAUUAGGUACGUUAUGAAUAUUAAAAAAUAAUAUUUUUUAUCACGUUAUCACAUACUUCAGCGCCUCCAAAUCUUUAAUUUUAAUUGGAUGAUAAUAAAAAUUAAAAUUUUAAAUUAAAUCAAAAUUAAUAAAAAAAAUUUAACUAUAAUUAUAGAAGCGCAUAAAAUUUUAAAAUUUUUUAAAACAUUUGAUCUAUUUGAAAUUAUGGAGAGAAAGUUUAAAUUUUGAAUUCUUAAAUAUUGAAUCUUAAUCAAAUAAGUCUCUGGAUAAACUUGCAAGUACAAAAAAAAAUAUUAAUUUUUUUAAAAAAAUUGAAAUUAAAAUAAAAAAAAAAGGUUAACCAUUUUGACUAAUUAAGCUUGAAAAUUUGGCACUCAUUUCGUCUUUGAUAAUGAUGUUUUAACCUUCUUUUAAUUUUAUAAUGUUUCCAAUUAAUUAUCCAUGCAAUAACAGAAAAUUUCUUCGAUUUUCAUGCUUUUACACCAAUCCUGUUACUCAAGGCAUAAUCUAUGAUUAAUAAAAAAUUAAGGAUAUUAAUUAGUGAUUACCUGAGAGAAGAAAACAUAAAG